GCCCGGGUAGCUCAGUGGUAGAGCAACGCACUCGUAAUGCGUAGGUCGCGGGUCCAAUUCCCGCCUCGGGCU
rnacentral:tRNA from 1 species